rnacentral:pre_miRNA from 1 species
UAGGUACUCCCUCCGUUCGGAAUUACUCGUCCAAGAAAUGAAUGUAUCUAGAUGUAUUUUAGUUAUAGAUACAUCCAUUUUUGUGACAAGUAAUUCCAAACGGAGGGAGUACCUU